UAAUCAUUUGUCUAUUAAUUGUAGACCAGUAUGAAAGGCCACAUGAGAGCCAAACUGUCUCUUGUAAUCAAUCAAUUAAACUGAUCUCCUAGUACAAAAGCUAGAAUAAUCAUAUAAGACCAGAAGACCCUGUGAAGCUUAAACUAACCUGUUAAAUCCACUAACAGCCACUUUCGGUUGGGGCGACCUUGGAACAAAACAAAACUUCCAAAUACCAUGAGCCCGUACCUCAUAUAAAGGCCAACAAGCCACUCUAUGACCCAGUACACUGACAAUUGAACCAAGUUACUCCAGGGAUAACAGCGCUAUCUUCUUCAAGAGCCCAUAUCAAAAAGAAGGUUUACGACCUCGAUGUUGGAUCAGGACACCCCAAUGGUGCAACCGCUAUUAAAGGUU
rnacentral:rRNA from 1 species